rnacentral:sRNA from 1 species
AAUUUAUUUAUUUUGAUCGCUAAGUUGUUCGUUUGCAUGUCGCUGGAUUCAGCGACCAAAAGCAGCGACUAAUCGCUGAAACCAGCGACUGAUCGCUAAAAAUUUCAGCGAUCAAAAAUUGCGGUCGCUGGUCGCUACUUUUGGUCGUUGAACCAGCGACAGGCAAACGAACAACUUUUGGUCGCUGUCGCUGGUUUCAGUCGCCAGCGACAGGCAAAUGAACAGGGACUACAUGUCUAAAUAUUUUAAAUCUUUAUUUUUCAUUUCCCAAAUUUAUCUAUCUAUCUAUUACUAUCUACAACUCCAUCACUUACUUUCAAAAUAAAAUAA